rnacentral:lncRNA from 10 species
CAAAACCAGUGAGAAGUAAAGGAAUUCCCAACCCCUACCUCAUCUAAAACCUCAGCUGUUACACAACGUCUACUUGAAGAUGUGCUGAAUCCAGUGUAGACUUGAAGAAGUCCUUCGGCCUCACUGCCACACCUAAAAGAACAUCCCAGAUGUCCCAUUCCCAGAGUUUGUCUUGGUCUGCCCUACCAGCUGGACUCAUGAUCCAAUUGCCCAAGGCAGAAUUCACCUUGACAUCAGUG